GGAGCGAGGGCAGCUUUACCAUGCAGUCGAACGGCAGCACGGACUUCGGUCUGGUGGCGAGUGGCGAACGGCUGAGUAACAUAUCGGAACGUAUCCAAUAAUGGGGGGAUAACUAAUCGAAAGGUUGGCUAAUACCGCAUACGCCCUACGGGGGAAAGCCAGGGACCUUCGGGCCUGGCGUUAAUGGAGCGGCCGAUAUCUGAUUAGCUAGUUGGUGGGGUAAAGGCCCACCAAGGCGACGAUCAGUAGCUGGUCUGAGAGGACGACCCGCCACCCUGGAACUGAGACACGGUCCAGACUCCUACGGGAGGCAGCAGUGGGGAAUUUUGGACAAUGGGCGCAAGCCUGAUCCAGCCAUUCCGCGUGAGUGAAGAAGGCCUUCGGGUUGUAAAGCUCUUUCGCACGGGAAGAAAACUUACGCUCUACCACAGCCUGAGGUUGACGGUACCUUGAUAAGAAGCACCGGCUAACUACGUGCCAGCCGCCGCGGUAAUACGUAGGGUGCGAGCGUUAACCGGAAUUACUGGCCGUAAAGCGUGCGCAGGCGGUUUUGUAAGUCCGAUGUGAAAUCCCCGAGCUCACCUUGGGAACUGCGUUUGAAACUACAAGACUAGAAUAUGCCAGAGGGGGGUAGAAUUCCACGUGUAGCACUGAAAUGCGUAGAGAUGUGGAGGAAUACCAAUGGCAAAGGCAGCCUCCUGGGACUCUAUUGACGCUCAUGCACGAAAGCGUGGGGAGCAAACAGGAUUAGACACCCCGGUAGUCCUGGCCCUAAACCAUGAAUGCUUGGCGUGGAGGGUCCCCAUCCCUGCCGCGCCGAAGCUAACGCAUUAAGCUUUCUGCCUGGG
rnacentral:rRNA from 1 species